GGUGACGUAGGAAAGUGGUCUAAUCCGCCAGAUUUAGGAUCCCAUUUCACUUCAAAUGGCCUUAAACUCUGGUCCUUCGGGGCGUGAGUUCGAACCUCACCGUCAUCA